rnacentral:lncRNA from 1 species
CCCUUGCACAGCUUGUUCCCGAGUCCAUUAGUGUUUGUAGUCUAUAUUCUAUCACAGCAAAUUAAAUUCCAGAGUUGUAUUUUAUGACGGAGUCUCUUUCUUUUAAAAAUGUUGUUCUGUGUGAUGAUGUCCAUCCUUCAUUUUCACCUUUCCCCCAAAAAAAUCCUGAAUUGGAAGCAUCAAACAAUACCUACAAAUGGACUGAUAAAUUCU